UACGAAGGGGGCUAGCGUUGUUCGGAAUUACUGGGCGUAAAGCGCACGUAGGCGGUUAUUUAAGUCAGGGGUGAAAUCCCAGAGCUCAACUCUGGAACUGCCUUUGAUACUGGGUAUCUGGAGUAUGGAAGAGGUGAGUGGAAUUCCGAGUGUAGAGGUGAAAUUCGUAGAUAUUCGGAGGAACACCAGUGGCGAAGGCGGCUCACUGGUCCAUUACUGACGCUGAGGUGCGAAAGCGUGGGGAGCAAACAGG
rnacentral:rRNA from 1 species